rnacentral:lncRNA from 1 species
AUGGCGGUGGACAUCACACUGCUGUUCAGGGCCAGCGUCAAGACCGUGAAGACGCGCAACAAAGCACUGGGAGUGGCAGUGGGCGGCGGGGUGGAGGGCAGCCGCGACGAGCUGUUUCGCCGGAGCCCCAGGCCCAAGGGCGACUUCUCCAGCCGAGCGCGCGAAGUGAUUUCACACAUUGGCAAGCUGAGAGAUUUUCUUCUGGAACAUAGAAAAGAUUAUAUUAAUGCUUAUAGUCAUGUCAUGUCUGAAUACGGGAGAAUGACGGACACAGAACGAGACCAGAUAGACCAAGACGCUCAGACGUUCAUGAGGACCUGCUCAGAAGCGAUCCAGCAGCUGAGAACACAAGCCCACAAGGAGAUACACUCUCAGCAAGUGAAGGAGCACAGGACUGCCGUUUUGGAUUUCAUUGAAGAUUACUUAAAAAGAGUGUGUAAACUUUACUCAGAACAAAGAGCCAUCCGAGUCAAGCGAGUGGUGGACAAGAAAAGAUUGUCUAAGCUGGAACCAGAACCAAACGCAAAGACAAGAGAAUCCAUGUCUUCUGAGAAAGUUUCACAGAGUCCAUCAAAAGACUCUGAAGAAAAACCUAUCCCUGAAGAAUAUCCAGAAAAGGUUCCAGUCGAAGCACAACCUGAAUUGGGAAGCUGGGGAGAUGGCAAAGGUGAAGAUGAAUUAUCCCCAGAGGAAAUACAAAUGUUUGAACAAGAAAAUCAGCGCCUGAUUGGUGAAAUGAACAGCCUGUUUGAUGAAGUGAGGCAAAUUGAAGGGAAAGUGGUUGAAAUCUCCAGACUCCAAGAGAUCUUCACAGAGAAGGUUUUACAGCAAGAAGCCGAGAUUGACAGUAUUCACCAGUUAGUAGUUGGAGCAACUGAAAAUAUCAAGGAGGGCAAUGAAGACAUAAGAGAGGCCAUCAAGAACAACGCCGGCUUCCGGGUGUGGGUGCUCUUCUUCUUGGUGAUGUGCUCCUUCUCCCUGCUCUUCCUCGAUUGA